rnacentral:rRNA from 1 species
UACAGAGACUGCAAGCGUUAUUCGGAUUCACUGGGCGUAAAGGGUGCGCAGGCGGCCGUGUGUGUCAGGUGUGAAAGCCCGGGGCUUAACCCCGGAAUUGCGCCUGAAACUACAUGGCUAGAGCAUUGGAGAGGGAUGCGGAAUUCCAGGUGUAGCGGUGAAAUGCGUAGAUAUCUGGAGGAACACCGGUGGCGAAGGCGGCAUCCUGGACCAACACUGACACUGAAAAGCGAAAGCCAGGGGAGACAACGGG